rnacentral:miRNA from 13 species
UGCAAUGCGUCUGAGCUCCUUA